UCAAACUUGGUCAUUUAGAGGAAGUAAAAGUCGUAACAAGGUCUCCGUUGGUGAACCAGCGGAGGGAUCAUUACAGGAAUCGCAAGAUCUCUGCUAUCCUCGCGAACCUACCGAAACGUUGCCUCGGCGGGCGUCUCGCCCGCCGGCGGCCCCCAACUCUGUCUCUGCAGUGUUGCCUCUCUGAGUCUUUUGGAAAUUGUCAAAACUUUCAACAACGGAUCUCUUGGUUCUGGCAUCGAUGAAGAACGCAGC
rnacentral:misc_RNA from 1 species